GGGCCUUGAGACCGGCGCACGGGUGCGUAACGCGUAUGCAAUCUGCCUUCCACAGAGGGAUAGCCCAGAGAAAUUUGGAUUAAUACCUCAUAGCAUCAUGGCCCGGCAUCGGGAUAUGAUUAAAGUCACAACGGUGGAAGAUGAGCAUGCGUCCCAUUAGCUAGUUGGUAAGGUAACGGCUUACCAAGGCUACGAUGGGUAGGGGUCCUGAGAGGGAGAUCCCCCACACUGGUACUGAGACACGGACCAGACUCCUACGGGAGGCAGCAGUGAGGAAUAUUGGUCAAUGGGCGCAAGCCUGAACCAGCCAUGCCGCGUGCAGGAUGACGGUCCUAUGGAUUGUAAACUGCUUUUGUACGGGAAGAAACCCUCCUACGUGUAGGAGCUUGACGGUACCGUAAGAAUAAGGAUCGGCUAACUCCGUGCCAGCAGCCGCGGUAAUACGGAGGAUCCAAGCGUUAUCCGGAAUCAUUGGGUUUAAAGGGUCUGUAGGCGGUCUUGUAAGUCAGUGGUGAAAGCCCAUCGCUCAACGGUGGAACGGCCAUUGAUACUGCUGGACUUGAAUUAUUGGGAAGCAACUAGAAUAUGUAGUGUAGCGGUGAAAUGCUUAGAGAUUACAUGGAAUACCAAUUGCGAAGGCAGGUUGCUACCAAUGGAUUGACGCUGAUGGACGAAAGCGUGGGUAGCGAACAGGAUUAGAUACCCUGGUAGUCCACGCCGUAAACGAUGGAUACUAGCUGUUGGGCGCAAGUUCAGUGGCUAAGCGAAAGUGAUAAGUAUCCCACCUGGGGAGUACGAACGCAAGUUUGAAACUCAAAGGAAUUGACGGGGGCCCGCACAAGCGGUGGAGCAUGUGGUUUAAUUCGAUGAUACGCGAGGAACCUAACCAAGGCUUAAAUGCAGACUGACCGGUUUGGAAACAGACCUUUCGCAAGACGGUCUACAAGGUGCUGCAUGGUUGUCGUCAGCUC
rnacentral:rRNA from 1 species